rnacentral:rRNA from 1 species
UGUCUUGGUGUUUAAAGGAUAGUGGAACCACAUUGAUCCAUUUCGAACUCAAUGGUGAAACACUAUAACAGUAACAAUACUUAAGGAGGAGUCCUUUGGGAAGAUAGCUUAUGCCUAGAC